UACGGAGGGUGCGAGCGUUGUCCGGAAUCAUUGGGCGUAAAGGGCGCGUAGGUGGCGGGACAAGCGUGCGGUGAAAGCCUGGGGCUCAACCCCGGGUCGGCCGUGCGAACUGUUUUGCUUGAGCACUGUAGAGGCAGGCGGAAUUCCGGGUGUAGCGGUGGAAUGCGUAGAUAUCGGGAGGAAUACCAGUGGCGAAGGCGGCUUCUUGGCCUGUUCUUGACGCUGAGGCGCGAAAGCUGGGGGAGCAAACAGGGAUUAAGAAACCCGUGGUAACGUCC
rnacentral:rRNA from 1 species